CAUAUCUUUGUCCAGUUAGCAGGGGUUAUGAAGUAUUCUGAUCACCUUGGAUGCAGCCAGAGACAAAGAAUAUGAGGAUGAUUAUCAUGCACUGCUUGCCAGUUGGAGACAGAGUGCUGAAUGAGAUGGAUUUUUGAGGUACCUCAACAAGUUCCUAAGAGCUGGUUUACAGGUUACAAAGAAGUGGGGAAAGAUGAUGCAUACUUCACCCAUGAACCUAGAUGACCUCCAGAACUUGGAUAUCACUAUGGGCAUGAUCCAUGAAUCUAACUUCACAUGUUAACAGAAGAAGUGGGGACAAACUAGAACAUGAAGUGAUGUAAGAAAGAUCUACAACUGAUGUGGUGAUGGCCGAAAUGGAACACUAAUUUAAAAACUUGUAGGGAUUAAAUUAUGAAACAUGUAUUGCAAUAGCUCUGAAAAGUUUCCAGGACAAUAUGCAACUAAACUGCCAAUAGUUUAUAUCCUAGAGAUUCUGUUUGCAUUCUUACAUGUUUUUUUCUUGCAGUCAGCCAGCAACAGAUCAGUGUGUUUAACAAUGAGACCCUGUUAGAGGCUACUGCAGAACAUGGUUCCAUUCUCAGAAACAGAAUGCUAUACAUAGUGUUCGGCUACACAUUUGCAGAGCAGCCAAAGGACCAGGAAACCCGCCCCCCACCGCCGUCCAGUUUUUUUUUAACCUUCUGGUUACUCAAAGACAAAGAGAGGGAACCUCCUUGCC